rnacentral:sRNA from 1 species
CUGGGUUCGAGCCUGCGUCCAGGUCCUGGACCCCAAGUCCAAGUGGCGAAGCAAAAUCCUCCUGGGGCUCAACUUCUAUGGUAUGGACUACGCGACCUCCAAGGAUGCCCGUGAGCCUGUUGUCGGGGCCAGGAAGCUGUGCACCACCAGGCUGUGUCUUCUGCCUGCUGCCUCCAGGACACGGAAUCGUUUUCUAAUGGUGGCUCAGGGCGGCUCACAGCAUACCAUGACUGCUAUACCUUUGGAGCCAGGACAGCCCUAGCAGCCGGUGGGUCAAGUCCAAGGGGUGCUGCAUGUGGUGACUCACGCCUGUAAUCGUUA